CUUCUUUAUAGGUAUGACCCCCGCUGUAAACAGUGGAUCAAGGUGAGAUUAAAGCCAGAUUAUUUCUUUUCUCUUGAGGACUCUCUCGGUUUCCUUAACCUAGCCUUGACUUUCCUUACCUCUCUGGGGCCUUGACAACUAUCCUGCUUCCGAACGAGGUGUGACGAUAAAGUGACGAGCAGCAUACCCGGGGGCCUACAUCCUGGACAGGGAGAGGGAGAGCCGACCCACCCCUUCGAGGGGUCCGUCAUCGUUCAGAGCAGCACUGCCUGGCGGGGCUUUCUGUGCAGAUGGAAGGGUCUGUCUGUACUUCCCGAUACGGUAGCCACAGCUGCAUGUAGCGACUGAGCACUUGAAAUGUGGCCAGUGCGACUGAAGAAGUCAAUUUUCAAUUUUAUUUCACUUUAACCGAUUGACGUGUAAGUGUAUGUGGCCACACGAGGCGUGGCUACCCUAUUGGACAGUAGCAUGGGUCUAGAUGUUUGAUCCAUGGUUCAAUGUCCCCAGGUCCUGGAAUCUCUGUGGGGCUCCUCUGGAAGCAUUUUGGGAGAUAGUUUAAGGAGACCACUAGUGCUCACACCUGGCCCUUGGGCAUGUAUUGUGGCCUGAUUCUGGGAAGAGCGUGGGUCUUGAUGUCAGACCUGAGGUCUCAUCCCAGCCUGGCUAAGUCAUAGCUAGGAGAUUUCAGAUUCUUGUCCUCUCCACAUUUUGGAUUCCCCUUCUGGGAAUAUGUUGGGGACAGGGAGUGCGGUAGCUCAUGUUGACUGGCAAGCCCCUGGCGUAGGGAAGGUGUCUCCUUUCUGCUGGGAGCGCUCUCCAGCCACUCGGUCCCCGGGAUAGUCCAUCUCAGCCUUUAUACUCACACCUCAGUGUCGCGCCCAACUCAGUGCUGUUCUCAGCUCAAAACUCAGUCAGAAUGGACUCCAGCUGACCUUUUGAUUUUACUCUCAGAAAUCUGAGACUGCCCUCCAAGGUCGAAGUCUCACCACUGGAAAGGGUCCCUGGCUUUGGAGCCUCCUCCCCGAAGCCUGGCAGCAGUGGCAGCAGUGUGUUUGCCUUGGAUUCGUUUAAAAAAAGAAAAAAAAAGUUGGCUCUUCUACUUUUUUUUUUUUGUGACAGAGUUGUUCUGUCACCCAAGCUGGAGUGCAGUGGCACGAUCUUGGCUAAUUGCAACCUCUGCCUCCCAGGUUCAAACAAUUCUGGCGCCUCAACCUACCGAAGUAGCUGGAAUUACAGGCGCCUGCCACCACGCCCGGCUAAUUUUUGUAUUUUCAGUAGAGACGGGGUUUCACCAUGUUGGCCAGGCUGGUCUCGAACUCCGUGACCUCAGGUAAUCCACCCACCUUGGCUUCCCAAAGUGCCAGGAUUACAGGCGUGAGCCACCGCGCCCAGCCUCUUCUGUUUAAUUUCCUGUCGAAUGCCACGUCCUGCUCUGUUAACACGGAGUGGCAGAGCAGCACUAACUUUACACAUCUGAUGUGGUGAGAGGAAAGAUGAAUUUUUAUUUCGUAAAGCCACUAGAUCAGCAAUUCUGACCCCUGUGACCACAGAGUUCCCAUCCACGCGGCUGAGCACAUGACCAGACAAGUUCGGGGGUUCAGAGCAUCUCCAUCCCCCUUUUGGGGACUCAGAGCGUCUCCAUCCCACUUUUGGGGAUUCAGAGCAUCUUGGUGAAACCUCGGGGGCUCAGAGCUCCCACCUGAAGAAGCCCUCUUUAUUCAGGUGGCCUCCAUGAACCAGCGCCGUGUGGAUUUCUACCUUGCCUCCAUCGAAGACAUGCUGGUGGCCGUCGGCGGCCGGAAUGAGAACGGAGCGCUCUCUUCAGUAGAGACGUACAGUCCCAAGACUGACUCCUGGUCCUAUGUGGCCGGCUUGCCAAGGUUCACGUACGGCCACGCGGGCACCAUCUACAAAGACUUCGUGUACAUCUCGGGGGGCCACGACUACCAAAUCGGCCCCUACCGCAAGAACCUGCUAUGCUACGACCACCGGACAGACGUGUGGGAGGAGCGGCGGCCCAUGACCACGGCGCGCGGCUGGCACAGCAUGUGCAGCCUGGGUGACAGCAUCUACUCCAUCGGGGGCAGCGAUGACAACAUCGAGUCCAUGGAGCGCUUCGACGUGCUGGGCGUGGAGGCCUACAGCCCGCAGUGCAACCAGUGGACCCGCGUGGCGCCGCUGCUGCACGCCAACAGCGAGUCGGGCGUGGCAGUGUGGGAGGGCCGCAUCUACAUCCUGGGCGGCUACAGCUGGGAGAACACUGCCUUCUCCAAGACCGUGCAGGUGUACGACCGCGAGGCCGACAAGUGGAGCAGGGGCGUCGACCUGCCCAAGGCCAUCGCUGGCGGGUCCGCCUGUGUCUGCGCCCUGGAGCCACGGCCAGAGGACAAGAAGAAGAAAGGCAAAGGCAAGAGGCACCAGGACCGGGGCCAGUGACCCUAGCUGCGCCUCCUGGGACCAUCCUCACCGUCACCUCCCAGGGCUCUGUAGACCAGCAGCAACUUCUUAGUAUUCCGGAAACAUUAUGUACAACUUAGCAGCUUUUUUUACUUUUAUGAUUCUUGGUAUUUCUAUGAUAUCACAGUAACCAAUUAAAUACUAUCUGUAACUUU
rnacentral:sRNA from 1 species